CAGUCGCCACGGUAAUACAGAGGAUGCAAGCGUUAUCCGGAAUGAUUGGGCGUAAAGCGUCUGUAGGUGGCUUUUCAAGUCCGCCGUCAAAUCCCAGGGCUCAACCCUGGACAGGCGGUGGAAACUACCAAGCUGGAGUAGGGUAGGGGCAGAGGGAAUUUCCGGUGGAGCGGUGAAAUGCGUUGAGAUCGGAAAGAACACCAACGGCGAAAGCACUAUGUUGGGCCGACACUGACACUGAGAGACGAAAGCUAGGGGAGCAAAUGGGAUUAGAUACCCGGGUAGUCCCUGUCUCUUAUAC
rnacentral:rRNA from 1 species